ACCCCAUGGUCAGAGGAGCCUGGCAGUCUACAGCCAUGGGGUUGCAAAGAAUUGGACAUGACUUAAGUGACUGAACAACAAAAAUCUGAUUUUGAAGCCACUAUAUCAUGCAGCCUUUUCCAGUAAGUCAGCAUGGCUUUCAGUGACACUCCCACUAAGGCCCAUGUAAAGAUUUAUGCUUUGUAUUUCGAAUUAAGAAAAUAAGAAGUUUUAAAAAGCUUUCCUCAAAGUAUAAACUUGGAAUACUAUGAUAACAAGUCAGUGCUUUUAUGAAGUAAGUAUGCCCCUUCUUGGGGAUUCUAGUGUGUCCUCUUGUUGGACAGUGCCUACCAUUGAGGGUUUCUGGGAUUAGGUAUCCCCUGGCAUCUAUUCUAAUUUUGGGGUAUGUUUCUGUGUCCUUUCCAAUUGCCAGUUGCCACUGACACCCCCACUCUGUCCUUCCUUCCUCCUACUAACUAGCAGUCCUCCUCUUUGAUGUAUUUCUCUCGUCCUUUAAUCUUCUGUCUACCCCCACUAAGCCCCUCCUGCUGCCUGAAUCCCACCUCCCUUCCCACACACAAUCCUAAAUCCUGCUCCCUCACCUCUAAGUUCCUUAUGAUUUCACAUGUCUUUUUCUCAAGUUGAAUCUAAGCAUCCCAGAACAUACACCCUGUUCAACUGUGUCAGGGACACUCAUCCAUCCUAUCUUCUCAAUGCAGGCACUGUCUUCCAUUCUGCCUGGCUGCAUGGCAUAGGGUCUUUCAGGCAGUGGAAGCCCAGUUUGCUCCCCAGGCCCUGACCAGUGAGGGGCACAGCCACCUGAAGGAAGGUAGCCUUUUUGAAGGUACCUGACAAUGCUCUAUGGGCUAGAGCAGCCUUCAGUGGCAACCAGAACCUACGUGGCCUUGCCCUAAUGGAGCUAGGAUCAGGUGGGGAGAUACAGUGAGGAAAUAAGCAGACUCAAAGGUAUACUUAGAACUGGAUCAGGGCAACAGAGGACUAAAAUGAAAGGUGUGAAGAGACAGAACAACUGUGACAUAUGGUGAUGGGAAGAUUUGGUUUCCUGAAGAAGUGAUGCUUACACUGACAUCCAGGAGGCAAGAAGGUGCCAGUCAGAACCUCUGCCUCCCUCAAGUUUCAAAUCUGGGUCAUGUUGGAAUUUGAAAAUUUUAUUCCUGAAAG
ensembl:lncRNA